AGAUUUGGUCGUAGAACGCGACCAAGUAAAACAAAAGAAACGUUCACCGAGA
rnacentral:ncRNA from 1 species